rnacentral:tRNA from 1 species
GAGGGUAUAGCUCAGUGGUAGAGCGCAUGCCUAGCAUCCAUUAGGUCCUAGGUUCAAUCCCCAGUACCUCCA